rnacentral:rRNA from 1 species
UGUCUAUUAAUUGUAGACCCGUAUGAAAGGCAAAAUGAGGGUUUAACUGUCUCUUAUAAUAAAUCAAUUAAACUGAUCUCCUAGUAAAAAAGCUAGAAUACCCACAUAAGACCAGAAGACCCUGUGAAGCUUAAACUAAACUAUCAAACCCUAUUAUAAUUACUUUCGGUUGGGGCGACCUUGGAAAAAAAAAGAACUUCCAAACAUAGUGACUAUAAACCACUCUAUAUUAGGCCUACA